rnacentral:rRNA from 1 species
CACGGGGGGAGCAAGCGUUGUUCGGAAUCACUGGGCGUAAAGGGCGUGUAGGCGGUCAGGUAAGUGAGAUGUGAAAUGCUCCGGCUUACCCGGAGACCGGCAUCUCAUACUGCUUGGCUUGAGUACGGGAGAGGGUGUGGGAAUUCCUGGUGUAGCGGUGAAAUGCGUAGAUAUCAGGAGGAACACCGGUGGCGAAGGCGCACACCUGGCCCGAUACUGACGCUGAGGCGCGAAAGCUAGGGGAGCAAACGGG